UGGUGGAGCGAUUUGUCUGGUUAAUUCUGUUAACGAACGAGACCUCAGCCUGCUAACUAGCUUCUUAGAGGGACUAUGGCCGUUUAGGAAACAGAAGUUUGAGGCAAUAACA
rnacentral:rRNA from 1 species